rnacentral:rRNA from 1 species
UACGAGAGGAACAAGCGUUAUCCAGAAUGAUUGGGCGUAAAGCGUUGGUAGGUUGAUAUUACAGUUAUAAGCGAAAAUUUAGUUGCAAAAUUAAAAAUGUUUUUAAUACUUAAAUAUCUUGAGUGUAAGAAAGGAUAAUAGAACUUUAUAUAUAGGGGUGAAAUCCAACAAUCUAUAAAGGAAUGCCGGAGGCGAAAGCGAUUAUCUUGCUUAAUAUACUGACGCUGAGCAACGAAAGCAUAGGGAGCAAACGGG